rnacentral:rRNA from 1 species
AUUGAACGCCGGCGGCAUGCUUUACACAUGCAAGUCGAACGGUAACAGGCCUUCGGGUGCUGCCGAGUGGCGAACGGGUGAGUAAUGCAUCGGAACGUGCCCAGAGGUGGGGGAUAACGCAGCGAAAGCUGUGCUAAUACCGCAUGUGAUCUGAGGAUGAAAGCGGGGGACCAAGCAGCAAUGUUUGGCCUCGCGCCUCUGGAGCGGCCGAUGUCAGAUUAGGUAGUUGGUGGGGUAAAGGCCUACCAAGCCGACGAUCUGUAGCUGGUCUGAGAGGACGACCAGCCACACUGGGACUGAGACACGGCCCAGACUCCUACGGGAGGCAGCAGUGGGGAAUUUUGGACAAUGGGCGCAAGCCUGAUCCAGCAAUGCCGCGUGCGGGAAGAAGGCCUUCGGGUUGUAAACCGCUUUUGUACGGAACGAAAAGGCUCUGGCUAAUACCUGGGGCUGAUGACGGUACCGUAAGAAUAAGCACCGGCUAACUACGUG